AUCGUGGAUACAUAGUUGUUCUUCGAUGAUCUUUGCUUUAUUGUUUUCAUGUGCCUCUUGAAUUUAGAGGUUAGUUCUGUAUGAUGUUUUGCCAAAUAGCGACGUUGCCCAACUAGAGUCUGAUGGCAUGCUGAUAGUUUCCCUUUUCUUUUAUAGCCCUAACUAAUUUUCCUGGCAUUUAGAGUGCCGAGGCUGGCUUUGGGCUGCCAAAUUUAUGCGGAAUGUAUGACAUGGAUUCUUGACAUCGACAACCUUACUGUUAUCUUCGUGCUGGAGCUUGCCGUGUCGAGUGGUUGCUGCUUGGAUAUGGGUUUGCCUGUGCUACACGUAGGUUUGACCCUUCUGAAUACAACUCGGCGAUUAUGUUUCUGCUUGCAUAGCCUUGUUUCUGUGGUUACCGUUGCUUCUUUGCGUGCUGUCAUUCUUAUUAGUAUAAGGGUAUUGUUUGCUGUGUCGCAAGGUACUGAGGUGAUGUUGCUUUGCGAUGCAAAUGUUAACUUGGUUGCUUAAAAUGCAAAUGUCGUUUCGUGUUUAGCUUCCUUGCUUGAAAAUCAGACAGAGAUAGAAACGAUAGUCCAGAGACCUUAUAUAUGAUGGUCAUAUAAACUUUCGCCCCGAUAUAAUAGCAUGACUAUAAAGACAUAUAGAAGUCGUACCAUAAGAAUAGAGAAUAUUAUGAAAUCUUUCACACAUAGAGCUGAAGCAGUGAAGAUUUACUAAAGUCGUACUUUGUAUUAUUAUUGUGUUGUAUGGUAAUACCCUGAGCUCUGCGUGUUAAAUAUAAAUCUGCAUUUUCCUUUGUUAUUUGCGAUUGCAGAUUUUCCUUUUUAAUCAAUGAUUGUGAUGCAAGUGCUCAUUUUAUUUUCCAGUAUCUUCCAGGCUCACUCUUCUGUGCCUAUGUGGAUGGUUGUUUUGAUCAAAUGGUACUAUCUUAUAUCCAUACCCUCUAGCCACGCAUGUUCGUUUUACCAUCACCAUGAGAAGCUUAGCCCUUCAGAGUGGUGGUGAUGGUUGGAGGUGAAGGCAAGGUGGUUUUUCUUGAUGAUUUUUCAUUUGUUACUGAACAAGACUCUGAACAUAUUUAGUUCAUGCCUUUCUAUCUUAUAGUAGUGUAAAGGAACCUCUUGCAGGGUAGUGCAUUGUUCCUUCUCUAUAUUCUCUGUGUGGAAAACAAAACACAUAUUUACCAAUUAGUAAUAUUCUGAAUGUUGUGUUUAUUGCUCCAGAUUGUUUCCAAAUACAUAGAUAAGGAUUUAUUUGCACACAAACUUGGUAAGUUCAGUGUGGUUGGUGAUUGUGGCGCUUAGCAUACAGAGCACGACCGGUGUUGUUUCGUCACAUUGAGACAAGGUGAUGGUCUCUUCCUCCAUAUUAGGCGAUGUCAUUUCUGAAUCCUCUCUGUGAUGCCAAUAUUGAUGCAUAAGGUCGUUGAUAAUUUGGCGAUAUUAUAUAAUGGAUUGCAGGUGACUAACUCAACUAUAUUUAGGUGUACAAAAAAAAUAUAGAGCAAGUUGAUUUUACCGAAUUAGUUGUUAUUAAUUGAGAAAGGCUAAGUGGCUUACCUGAGAUGUUGCACAUUAUUACUUAUUUAUUUCACAAUGCAAGUGUCGUGAUGUUGUAACUGUGGAUGUUUGGACAUGAACAUUGUUUCUUACAAAUUACUGUACUCACUUUCUCUACA